UUUCAAUACUCUCCCUGAGUAUUGAAAUGCGCCCAUGUGAGGUUGGAAAUAAUGAAUAAAAAUAAUUCUUCAAAUUAUCAAUCAAUCAAAAUAGCUGAAGUUCAUAGAGAAUUAAACAGGCUAGCACAAAAGCUGAUGAUGCAUCAUGCUGCUUGCUUCCUUCUCCCCUGGGAGCCUUUGUGACCCACAGCCCUCACCUCGGAUAGGAUCUGUUCCUGCCCUCUGCAGCUCAGCAUGGAGCACAGCUUUCCCACUUGGUUUCUGGUUUUUGGGACAGGAACAAGGAAGCCACCUCUGCCAGCCCAAACCUAGCCCUAUCAGAUCCCAUCUGUUCUAGGGAAAUAGGGCAAGCACUGCCUGUGCUGAGUGAUGCUCAUACAGCUCUGGUCCCAUGAAGCCUGUCCAUCCCCUUUUGUCAUCCUCCUGUCCCCUCUGCUGGGCUUCCACAGAGCUGGGACCUUUCCUUUCUUGUUUAUUUGUGGCUUGUUUCCUGUGCUCUGUUUAAAAAGCUCAUGUAGCUCUUCAGGUUCUCAUUUUACAGACCAAGGCAAAGGAAGCUGCAAGGAUUUCUGCCUGGGAGUUGGAUGUCUGUGUACCCUGCUGUCAGCCUCCAGCCAAUGUGAUGGCACAGUGAACCUGUAAUGCAUCCAGAGAGGAAGCAGAGAGCUGCAGUUCAGCAGGGACAGAACGCUGACCGGGAGGGGAUGGGGUCCUGCCCACGUCGGUGAUGGGAGCAGUCCUGACCCUCUGCUCCAGGCACCAGGAGGAGCCCACGACCAGCCUGCCUGCUCAGCCACCAUUUCAAGAGCUUCUCAAGUCAAAGCAGGCCUGGAACACAAAACCUUUGGGUGCCAUGCAGAGAAGCAGCAACACUGAGAGACCCAGAGCUUCUGUGGAAGCCAGCUGUCCCCAAGGCCUGACCCACAGCAGUGCUCAGCACGUGGGGAUGGAAGCUCCCACUGCAGCCGGAGGGACUCCAACAGCCACGGAGCGCCUGUUCUUAUCAGAGCCCGUGCACUCGACUGGGGCUCUGGGAAUGGUGCUGCUGGGGAAUGCUGUGUUCUCAGAGGAAGCAGAACCUGCCUGGAGCCUUUCUUCCUGCACCGUCCGUGCACAAAGAGGCUUCUCAGGAAGAUGAUAAACAUCCUAAGAACUGCUGUGGCUUCUGGAGACGCUCACAUCAGUGUCUUUUCCUUUAAACAUCCUGAGCUGAAGGGCCCUUUGCCUCUGAUGUCAUUCGUGCCCACACAGCCGAAAAUAGGUGCUGAGUUCUGGCAUGUAAAGCCAGCAGUGCGUGAAGUGGAGUUGCUAACAGCUCAGGAGCUGCCUGAGCUGCUGAGAGCCCCUUGGGAAGAGGUAUGUGCCAGUGUAUAUGAGGUCUGUGCGUGGAAGAGACAAAGGCUGGUCACAAAGCAGGGGGCUUCUGCUCAGCCUGGAACAGCAGAGGGGCGGGAUGGGGCUGAGCAGAGGGUGCUGGUAGUGUUGCGCUCAGGGCUGGGUGCUCCAGGGGUCUGCCAGGAGCAAUGCUUGGCCCUGCCCCUACUCCUGCAGGGGAAUAAGGGGUUAAAAAGGGUGGUGGCACAAUUCAAGCAUCCAUUCAUCUCUCUGUUUUCUUGGUGCUUGUGGGGCUGGGGGCCAUAGCACUGCCACACCAGGGUGGCAAGAGUCCCACCAGGCUGGUGGCAGGGAUGGGUCACCAUUGAACAGCCAAAUGUGGGUGGCUGCAUUCCACAGCUCCAGAAAGCUGCAGAAUGAGGGAGAGAUCAGGAUAUGUGAGCUGGAGCCUUGCCCAAGGGCUUUUGUUUUCUUGUCAUCGUUCCCUUUAAUAUAAAGCUGUUUCUUGUGGCUCUGCAGCUGUGGAGUAAUGGUGCUUUGGUAGCACUGUGAUAUCAGACAGUCUGUAUGGACAAAAGACGGAAAAAUAAACAUUAUAUUUGGUACUAAAAA
ensembl:lncRNA